rnacentral:rRNA from 1 species
UCCAGACUCCUACGGGAGGCAGCAGUGAGGAAUAUUGGUCAAUGGGCGCGAGCCUGAACCAGCCAAGUCGCGUGAGGGAAGACGGUCCUAUGGAUUGUAAACCUCUUUUGUCAGGGAGCAAAGACUGGGACGCGUCCCCGGAUGAGUGUACCUGAAGAAAAAGCAUCGGCUAACUCCGUGCCAGCAGCCGCGGUAAUACGGAGGAUGCGAGCGUUAUCCGGAUUUAUUGGGUUUAAAGGGUGCGCAGGCGGUCUGUUAAGUCAGCGGUAAAAGCCCGGGGCUCAACCCCGGCCGGCCGUUGAAACUGGCAGUCUCGAGUUGGAGAGAAGUAUGCGGAAUGCGCGGUGUAGCGGUGAAAUGCAUAGAUAUCGCGCAGAACUCCGAUUGCGAAGGCAGCAUGCCGGCUCCACACUGACGCUGAGGCACGAAAGCGUGGGUAUCGAACAGGAUUAGAUACCCUGGUA